rnacentral:tRNA from 1 species
GUUUUAAUAGUUUAAAAAAAACAAUGAUCUUGUAAAUCAUAAAUAAGGUAACUUUUAAACA